CCCUUAGAGUUUGAUCCUGGCUCAGGACGAACGCUGGCGGCGUGCUUAACACAUGCAAGUCGAACGAGGCCCCACCUUCGGGUGGGUGUUCUAGUGGCGAACGGGUGAGUAACACGUGGGCAACCUGCCCCCGGCUCUGGGAUAACUCCAAGAAAUUGGGGCUAAUACCGGAUAUGACCGCUGGCCGCAUGGUCUGGUGGUGGAAAGUUUUUCGGCUGGGGAUGGGCCCGCGGCCUAUCAGCUUGUUGGUGGGGUAGUGGCCUACCAAGGCGACGACGGGUAGCCGGCCUGAGAGGGUGACCGGCCACACUGGGACUGAGACACGGCCCAGACUCCUACGGGAGGCAGCAGUGGGGAAUAUUGCGCAAUGGGCGGAAGCCUGACGCAGCGACGCCGCGUGGGGGAUGACGGCCUUCGGGUUGUAAACCUCUUUCAGCAGGAACGAAGCCGCGAGGUGACGGUACCUGCAGAAGAAGCACCGGCCAACUACGUGCCAGCAGCCGCGGUAAUACGUAGGGUGCAAGCGUUGUCCGGAAUUAUUGGGCGUAAAGAGCUCGUAGGCGGUUCGUCGCGUCGGCUGUGAAAACCCGGAGCUCAACUCCGGGCCUGCAGUCGAUACGGGCGGACUUGAGUGUUGCAGGGGAGACUGGAAUUCCUGGUGUAGCGGUGAAAUGCGCAGAUAU
rnacentral:rRNA from 1 species